rnacentral:lncRNA from 1 species
UUGUAUUUACCAAUGAAAAGUAUUUACAAAAUAUGGUCAAAGUUGAAUUAAAAUUCAAUUCAAAAUAAGUGUUAUGAAAAGAAGUUUGAAAAUCAAAAGCAUAGUGCUUAGGUUUCUAAUUUUGAAAACAAAUGUUAAUGUUUGCACAAAAAGUUUUGGCUUGGGUUAGAGUGGAGGGAAGAAGAAGAAUGGCUAAGUCCUAAACAUGCAAGGAUGAAGGAGGAGAAAAUAAACCACAAUGGAGUUCCCUUCUUGAGAUCAUA